CCUACGGGAGGCAGCAGUGAGGAAUAUUGGUCAAUGGACGAGAGUCUGAACCAGCCAAGUAGCGUGAAGGAUGACUGCCCUAUGGGUUGUAAACUUCUUUUAUAUGGGAAUAAAAUGUUCCACGUGUGGGAUUUUGUAUGUACCAUAUGAAUAAGGAUCGGCUAACUACGUGCCAGCAGCCGCGGUAAUACGGAGGAUCCGAGCGUUAUCCGGAUUUAUUGGGUUUAAAGGGAGCGUAGGUGGCUUGUUAAGUCAGUUGUGAAAGUUUGCGGCUCAACCGUAAAAUUGCAGUUGAAACUGGCAGUCGUGAGUACAGUAGAGGUGGGCGGAAUUCGUGGUGUAGCGGUGAAAUGCUUAGAGAUCACGAAGAACUCCGAUUGCGAAGGCAGCUCACUGGACUGCAACUGACACUGAGGCUCGAAAGUGUGGGUAUCAAACAGGAUUAGAUACCCCAGUAGUC
rnacentral:rRNA from 1 species